rnacentral:rRNA from 1 species
UACGGAGGGUGCAAGCGUUAUCCGGAUUCACUGGGUUUAAAGGGUGCGUAGGCGGGCAGGUAAGUCAGUGGUGAAAUCUCCGAGCUUAACUCGGAACUGCCGUUGAUACUAUUUGUCUUGAAUAUUGUGGAGGUAAGCGGAAUAUGUCAUGUAGCGGUGAAAAUGCUUAGAUAUGACAUAGAACACCAACUGCGAAGGCAGCUUACUACACAACGAUUGACGCUGAGGCACGAAAGCGUGGGGAUCAAACAGG